UGGGGAAUAUUGGGCAAUGGGCGAAAGCCUGACCCAGCAACGCCGCGUGAAGGGAGAAGGCUUUCGGGUUGUAAACUUCUUUUCUCAGGGACGAAAGAAAUGACGGUACCUGAGGAAUAAGCCACGGCUAACUACGUGCCAGCAGCCGCGGUAAUACGUAGGUGGCAAGCGUUAUCCGGAUUUAUUGGGUGUAAAGGGCGUGUAGGCGGGAGUGCAAGUCAGAUGUGAAAACUAUGGGCUCAACCCAUAGCCUGCAUUUGAAACUGUACUUCUUGAGUGCUGGAGAGGCAAUCGGAAUUCCGUGUGUAGCGGUGAAAUGCGUAGAUAUACGGAGGAACACCAGUGGCGAAGGCGGAUUGCUGGACAGUAACUGACGCUGAGGCGCGAAAGCGUGGGGAGCAAACAGGAUUAGAUACC
rnacentral:rRNA from 1 species